rnacentral:rRNA from 1 species
ACGGGUGAGUAAUGUCUGGGGAUCUGCCCGAUAGAGGGGGAUAACCACUGGAAACGGUGGCUAAUACCGCAUAACGUCGCAAGACCAAAGAGGGGGACCUUCGGGCCUCUCACUAUCGGAUGAACCCAGAUGGGAUUAGCUAGUAGGCGGGGUAACGGCCCACCUAGGCGACGAUCCCUAGCUGGUCUGAGAGGAUGGCCAGCCACACUGGAACUGAGACACGGUCCAGACUCCUACGGGAGGCAGCAGUGGGGAAUAUUGCACAAUGGGCGCAAGCCUGAUGCAGCCAUGCCGCGUGUAUGAAGAAGGCCUUCGGGUUGUAAAGUACUUUCAGCGGGGAGGAAGGCGAUAAGGUUAAUAACCUUGUCGAUUGACGUUACCCGCAGAAGAAGCACCGGCUAACUCCGUGCCAGCAGCCGCGGUAAUACGGAGGGUGCAAGCGUUAAUCGGAAUUACUGGGCGUAAAGCGCACGCAGGCGGUCUGUUAAGUCAGAUGUGAAAUCCCCGGGCUUAACCUGGGAACUGCAUUUGAAACUGGCAGGCUUGAGUCUCGUAGAGGGGGGUAGAAUUCCAGGUGUAGCG